GCUCCACACUACCUAAAUGAGGGAAAACCUAGCAGCCCUUAGGCAGCCUUAGGAGGCCUCACAAGAGAGCUCGCCGCCCCACCUCUGCCCGCCCGCCUGCCCAGACUGUCACCUGAGUGUAGUGGCCGCACAUCUGGUUCGGAUCGCAGGUGGCCGUGCUGAAAUUGUAAUACUCAUGCUCCUCGUGCCAGUUCCCCACGGCCAGCGGCACGUCCAUGCCCUCGUCCGUGAUGGCAAACAAGUUCUCUCCGCGCCGCCCGCGUUCUUUGUUGUGGCCCCACACGCACUUCUGAGCGUAGGCCUUGGCGAAGGCGGCCAGCUCGUCAUCCCACCUCUGCAGGGACGCAAGGGAGGCAAGACAGGGAGGUGAGACUCCUGCGAAGGGCAGUUUUGCUUAGAGAGCCUCCGAGGUUCCUUGUCCUUGGCUGGGAGAAGACGGAGCAAGUGUGCAGCAUGAGAGGGGAACUUAAGGCAUCUGACCCCAAGGACUAAGGAGGAAGACCUGGAUCCCAUUAAACUCCGAUGCCUGCUGUGGCUCUUGUUCCACCAACUUGACAGCCCCACCAAAAGCAGCAGCAGAAGCUUGGGGUGUCAUUGCGGGGAGAACUGUGUGACCAUGCCCACUUCCCACCCGCUCAGUGCUUUAGCUUCCUGCAACCCUCGUGGGAUCCUGAAUGGGGACAGUACCAGGGCUGUGCCUUGAUGAGAUGUUCUCUCUCUCUCUCUCUCUCUCUCUCUCUCUCUGGUCAUUUUAAAAAAUUAAUUCUGCACUUACUUUUAGGUAUGUGCGAAUGCAGGUGCACGCCUAACAGUGCCUGCACGAAAGAGGACAGCCUCUGGGGAGGGAACUCAGCUCCUCUGAGUUGCUUGGCCAGGUGUUUUGAGGAACACCUGGCUAGCCCCACUUUGGUCAUUUUAUUUCAAAUCACUGGUCUGGGUGGUCCCCUAGACUCUGACAACAGUGGGCAGUUGGGAGCAGAAAUGGGGAUCAGGGGGUCUAGGGUGAUCCACAGGACCCCGGGAUAGACAGAUAGGCUCCAUUCUAGGACAGGUAGUAACAUCAUUUCCAUUGUCACAGUGCUGGGUGUUAUGGGUACUCCCCCACCCCCCAGCUGAGGACCUCCCCGAAGCUGAGGACUGAACCCAGGGCCUUGUGCUUGCUAGGCAAGUGCUCUACUACUGAGCUAAAUCCCCACCCCAGUGGGUACUUUUUAAUAGAUGGUUAUGAUUGAAAGACCAGCUCAAAGUAGCCCCAGCUCUAACCUCUAAGCUGAGUCUACGCCUGAAGUCCCAGCGGGACUUACAGUUUGUGGUGU
rnacentral:lncRNA from 1 species